AGGAUGAACGCUGGCGGCGUGCUUAACACAUGCAAGUCAUGGGGGCCCAGCAAUGGGCAACCGGCGAACGGGUGCGUAACACGUGAGCAACCUACCCAGGUGUGGGGGAUAGCCGUCCCAACGGACGGGUAAUACCGCAUACGCUCAACACGAGGCAUUUCGAGUUGAGGAAACCUUCGGGGCACCAUGAGGGGCUCGCGGCCUAUCAGCUAGUUGGCGAGGUAACGGCUCACCAAGGCUACGACGGGUAGCUGGUCUGAGAGGAUGUCCAGCCACAGUUGGGACUGGACGAAACCGGCCCAG
rnacentral:rRNA from 1 species